UGGGAUGAUGUGAGGGUAGGUGGCCGAGAGACCGAUGAGGAGCUAAUCGGCCCCUGACC
rnacentral:ncRNA from 12 species